AAUGAACGCUGGCGGCAUGCCUAACACAUGCAAGUCGAACGAGACCUUCGGGUCUAGUGGCGCACGGGUGCGUAACGCGUGGGAACCUGCCCAUAGGUUUGGAAUAACUCCCCGAAAGGGGUGCGAAUACGGGAUAAUGUCUUCGGACCAAAGAUAUAUCGCCUUUGGGUGGUCGGGCGUUGGAUUAGAUUGUUGCGAGGGUAAAAGGCUCCCAAGGGGACGAUCCAUAGCUGGUAAGAGAGGAAGGUCAGCCACACUGGGACUGGGACGCGGCCCGGAAUCCUACGGAAGGGAGGAGAGGGUAAUAUAGGAAAGUGGGCGGAAGCAUGAACCACCACUGCCGCGUGAGUGAUGAAGGCCUUAAGGUUGUAAAGCUCUUUUACCCGGGAUGGUAAUGACGGUACCGGGAGAAUAAGCUCCGGCUAACUCCGUG
rnacentral:rRNA from 1 species